rnacentral:rRNA from 1 species
UCAGUCGACUCCUACGGGGAGGCAGCAGUGAGGAAUAUGGUCAAUGGGCGCAAGCCUGAACCAGCCAUGCCGCGUGCAGGAAGACUGCCCUAUGGGUUGUAAACUGCUUUAUACAGGAAGAAACACUCGGACGUGUCCGAGCUUGACGGUACUGUAAGAAUAAGGAUCGGCUAACUCCGUGCCAGCAGCCGCGGUAAUACGGAGGAUCCAAGCGUUAUCCGGAAUCAUUGGUUUAAAGGGUCCGUAGGUGGAUUAGUAAGUCAGAGGUGAAAGCCUGCAGCUCAACUGUAGAACUGCCUUUGAUACUGCUAGUCUUGAGUCAUUAUGAAGUGGUUAGAAUGUGUAGUGUAGCGGUGAAAUGCAUAGAUAUUACACAGAAUACCGAUUGCGAAGGCAGAUCACUAAUAAUGUACUGACACUGAUGGACGAAAGCGUGGGGAGCGAACAGGAUUAGAUACCCUGGUAG